rnacentral:rRNA from 1 species
GAUGAACGCUGGCGGCGUGCCUAACACAUGCAAGUCGAGCGAUUCUCUUCGGAGAAGAGCGGCGGACGGGUGAGUAACGCGUGGGUAACCUGCCUCAUACACAUGGAUAACAUACCGAAAGGUAUGCUAAUACAGGAUAACAUAAGAGAUUCGCAUGUUUCUCUUAUCAAAGCUCCGGCGGUAUGAGAUGGACCCGCGUCUGAUUAGCUAGUUGGUAAGGUAAUGGCUUACCAAGGCGACGAUCAGUAGCCGACCUGAGAGGGUGAUCGGCCACAUUGGAACUGAGACACGGUCCAAACUCCUACGGGAGGCAGCAGUGGGGAAUAUUGCACAAUGGGCGAAAGCCUGAUGCAGCAACGCCGCGUGAGUGAUGAAGGCCUUCGGGUCGUAAAACUCUGUCCUCAAGGAAGAUAAUGACGGUACUGAGGAGAAGCCCCGWUAUUUYC